rnacentral:rRNA from 1 species
AGAGUUUGAUCAUGGCUCAGAUUGAACGCUGGCGGUAUGCUUAAGACAUGCAAGUCGAACGGAAGUCUUCGGACUUCAGUGGCGGACGGGUGAGUAACACGUGGGAAUCUACUGAGUAGUGGGGGACAGCCCGGCGAAAGCCGGAUUAAUACCGCAUACGCCCUACGGGGGAAAGGCGCAAGCCGCUAUUCAAUGAGCCCGCGUAAGAUUAGCUAGUUGGUAAGGUAAAGGCUUACCAAGGCGACGAUCUUUAGCUGGUCUGAGAGGAUGGCCAGCCACAUCGGGACUGAGACACGGCCCGGACUCCUACGGGAGGCAGCAGUCGGGAAUAUUGGACAAUGGGCGCAAGCCUGAUCCAGCAAUACCGCGUGUGUGAAGAAGGCCUGCGGGUUGUAAAGCACUUUCAGUUGGGAAGAUAAUGACGUUACCAACAGAAGAAGCACCGGCUAACUCCGUGCCAGCAGCCGCGGUAAUACGGAGGGUGCAAGCGUUAAUCGGAAUUACUGGGCGUAAAGCGUGCGUAGGCGGUUACUUAAGUCAGAUGUGAAAUCCCCGGGCUCAACCUGGGAACUGCAUCUGAUACUGGGUGACUAGAGUGUGGGAGAGGAGAGUGGAAUUUCCGGUGUAGCGGUGAAAUGCAUAGAGAUCGGAAGGAACAUCAGUGGCGAAGGCGACUCUCUGGACCAACACUGACGCUGAGGCACGAAAGCGUGGGUAGCAAACAGGAUUAGAUACCCUGGUAGUCCACGCCGUAAACGAUGUCAACUAGCCGUCAGGCCCGCUUUAGGGUUUGGUGGUGGAGCUAACGUAUUAAGUUGACCGCCUGGGGAGUACGCUCGCAAGAGUAAAACUCAAAGGAAUUGACGGGGGCCCGCACAAGCGGUGGAGCAUGUGGUUUAAUUCGAUGCAACGCGAAGAACCUUACCUGGUCUUGACUGCUAAGCGUCUUCGGACGUAGACCAUCGAAAGAUGGCUUAAAUUUGCAAGGUGCUGCAUGGUUGUCGUCAGCUCGUGCCGUGAGGUGUCGGGUUAAGUCCCAUAACGAGCGCAACCCUCAUCCUUAGUUGCCAACAGUUCGGCUGGGAACUCUAAGGAAACUGCCAUCGUAAGAUGUGAGGAAGGUGGGGAUGACGUCAAAUCAGCACGGCCCUUAUGUCCAGGGCUACACACGUGUUACAAUGGUCGGUACAAAAGGUUGCCACCUGGUGACAGGGAGCUAAUCCAAAAAACUGGCCCCAGUUCGGAUUGGAGUCUGCAAUUCGACUCCAUGAAGCCGGAUUCGCUAGUAACCGCGUAUCAGCAACGACGCGGUGAAUACGUUCCCGGGCCUUGUACACACCGCCCGUCAAGCCAUGGAAGCUGGGUGCACCUGAAGUCCGUGACCGCAAGGAGCGGCCGAAGGUGAAACUAGUGACUGGGGCUAAGUCGUAACAAGGUAACCAAGGGCGAA